UUAAAGUAACACAGUGAAGCAGCUGAACUUCUAAUUAUGUCGUCAGUCAGUCGUCAUUGUUCAUUUUAUUUCAUUCAGUAAAAGAGUUGCAAAAGUAAAACUGCGGGAACAUUAAUAUAUUAUUGCUUGUUUUCGCCAAUUUAUUUCGAUUAUUCGUCCAUAGAAUAUGGGGAAUAUGGUGAUUCAUGUGUCAUGUGCAGUGCAAGUUCAUAAUUUUUACGGCAUCGAAGAAUCCUGAACCAGAACGUCCAGAUAUUGUGAGGAAAAAACUAAACUAUCGGAGAGUUCUCCUCUGCGUCGAGUUAUGCGGCUCUUGAACUGUUCCUUAACCUCAACCCUUCGUCGUCGACCGGCAGUUUUUGCUCGUCAAUUCUUCCUUGGAUGCAGCAUCUCCAGCUUGGCCGAAGAAGUUCGACACAAGACUUUUGCCGCAGGUGUGUCUGUCUGUCCGUCGGCGCGUGUGUGUGUCUGGCAGGAUGGGAUAUAGGAUUUGUUGUGCGCCCGCCAGCAAACUUCAUCCGGUGGCAUCUCUUCUGCCUUUGAAAAAACAUCCACUUGAGGACAUGCAUUCGACAGAGUAUGGUGCCUCAGAGAUAACAGAAUGUACGCAGAUGUCAUCCAACUGCACCGAACGUGACCCAAAGAGACACACGUUGAAGCAGAGAUGAGGACCGAGUUGUGUAGACUUUGCGAGCGGACAGCUGCCGACGGUGC